rnacentral:rRNA from 1 species
UACGUAGGGACCAAGCGUUGUUCGGAUUUACUGGGCGUAAAGGGCGCGUAGGCGGCGUGGUAAGUCACUUGUGAAAUCUCUGAGCUUAACUCAGAACGGCCAAGUGAUACUGCUGUGCUAGAGUGCAGAAGGGGCAAUCGGAAUUCUUGGUGUAGCGGUGAAAUGCGUAGAUAUCAAGAGGAACACCGAUGGCGAAGGCAGUGUUCUGGGCCAGUACUGACGCUGAGGAGCGAAAGCGUGGGGAGCAAACAGG